rfam:Micromonospora coxensis strain DSM 45161 genome assembly, chromosome: I
CUUGAUCGAGCCGAGCAGCAGUGGCCGGUCGGCGGGCCGGUCCUGCCCGUAGGUGGCGAGCAGGGCCUGCGCCUC